GUUCACGGAGGGGAGCCGCCACCGCCCCUACCCCUUCCAGAGCUCGUGCUCUUCCUCUCUUCCCCGCCCCCCUCCCACGCUGGCCGCCGGCCCCUUCCCCUUCCAGAGCUCGUGCUCUUCCUCUCUUCCCCGCCCCCUGCACCACUGGCCGCCGACCCGCCGACUCCUUCUCCUCCGGGAAGUACCUCCUUGUUUGCUCCUGUUCGGCGGCGGCCGUGGUCGAGCUCGAGCCCGGGCGCGGCGGCGCGGUGUUGAGCACGGCUAUGGCCCGAAGCGGCGGGGGUAGAGGCGCAGGGCGACGCGAGGCCCCCACUGAGUGCCUCUCCACCAAAUCCGGCCGCCACCAGCUUGCCUCGGCCUCCUCAUCUUCAUGCAUCUUCGGGAAGAAGACGACCCGUGCUGAGUCGCCUCUGAUCCACGGUGAGAAGACAGCGAUGAGUUCCCUUUCCACUUCCCCCGUUUCCACGGUCUCUCUCUCAGAUUAUCUGUUCAUCCGCUCGAGAUUUGAUUACGUGUGUCUGUCUGUUCAUUUGCGGGGGGAGCUGGAUCCCAAGGGCAGAGUUGCAGUCCUCUAGAGCUGCGGGGAAGAAGAAGAAGAAGAUGUGAUUCAUAUAUUGCUUCUCUCUGGUGUGAAGACUCUUCCCUGGAAUCAAAGAUAUGACUAUCCCUGCAUCAUAUAAAGUGUGGCCUGCUGGUUGGUCCGCUGCGGGUGCUUGUGGCUCUGGUCGGUUCGUCCUGCUGCAUCUGCGGUCGCCAAUCUGCAGCUGGAUCGGUGGGUGGCGACGUGUUCACUGUUUGGUCGAGUCGUCCACGGCGCUGUCGCUGCCGUCCAGGAUGAGCUGCUCAGCCUGCUACUCCACGAGACUCCCUAGCAACAGCUGAAGUGAGGUUCCAUGGGAACAAGCACCCAUGGUUGUUGUCGCCGUUAGCAUCGUCCCUUAACUGCGACCCUUUAGACCCUUUGCUGAUCCAGCUCCCAGAAGGUCAGUGCCUGGGGAAGGGAAGUGGUUUCUCUCCGUCGAGGACGGCAAACAGAGAUAGAGGAGGCAGAUGUGAUAUGCUUGGCAUUAUGUUGUGAGGAUAGAGGGCCAUGGAUCUGGAUGUGGAGGUCAGUGGCAGUAUCGAUGCCUUUUUCCUCUUCUACUCGAUACCUUGACCUGUUUCCUUUCACUGUUAGAUUGUGAAAGUCCAUACGACGUUCGUGUCAAGAUGAGCGGUCGUUCCUGCUGACAUUGUGUCAACUAGAUGGUUGUAUUCUUAAAACUUAUCAAUCAAUUGGAGUCGGUUUCUAUAAUUGUUUUCCCUUCAGAAGUUUUUAACCUGCUUAAUGCUUAUUGUUCAGAAUUUUAGGUGCUCUUUUGUCAGAGACCGCUUGAUGGUUUGGUUGGGACUAUAUGAUUUAGCCUAUUCUUGGUGGCAACUAAUUAGGCAUCGAUACCGUGAAUCAGUAAACACUCGCAACAGGACUGUUUUUUUAACUUCCGGACAUUUUUAUUUAUGUGAAAAAUACUUUGUUUGGUGAUACACUAAUUCAGAAUACUCAUGCUUCAAUUUCUCAUGAACUUUAUUCCUCUAUCCUUUUUUAUGUGUACUAAUGUGUCUUUUUAUCUAUCCUUUUUCCUGUAUACUAAUGUGUCUUUAUCUACUAUCCUGCUACUGCACUACUUUACAGAGGAAAAUUUAUUCGAUCAUUCAUUUUCUUGAGAUUUACUUCAUAUAUUGAUGUAGUUUGUUUUGAUUUCAGCAACGCAGAAUAAUGUAUGUGGGAAGAUCAGACAAGAAGAGGUUGAACUCUGAUUCCACCCUGUGUUGUUUGCUGCUUAAAAUUAGUCGACUGUGUGUUGUCUUGGUCAUCAUCAGUAUUUAUGUCCAUGAGGUUUGGAGUAGGCCCAGAAUGCUUUCGUAAUUCAGUUCAAAUUUCCAUGUGCUGUAAUGACUAUUCAGUUGGAUUGGCUUAGAACUACAAAGGUUGAGGAUAAGCCAUUCAUCCUAUAGGUUGUAGGUGUAAUUGAUCAAACAAUUGAUUACAUUGUAGUCAAGAUUGUAGAGCUUAAAUGGUUCUUUCUUUCUAUAUGUUGUAUGCAUUCCUACUAGGUUUUUUGUUUGGAAAUGCCAGUCACAUCAUUUCUGAAUUCGGAAUUGUGAAGGGUCCAAUGAAAAUCCAAGCAAGUUGCGGAGUGA